AGCCUGUCGCAGCAGCACAGAGAUGCCGUGCGCGUUCCACAUGUGGGACGCGAACAGAAUGGGGCUCACUCUC
rnacentral:RNase_MRP_RNA from 13 species